rnacentral:rRNA from 1 species
CUUCAGUAACGGCGAGUGAAGAAGGAAGGCCCAGCGCCGAAUCUCCACGGCGGAGACGCUGUCGAGAAAUGUGGCGUAUAGGAAGGCGAACUGUGGCCGCGCUCCGGCGCCCAAGUCCUCCUGAUCGUGGCCCACCCACAGCGGGUGUUAGGCCCUUACAGGCGCUCGGACGUGGUCGCUUUCGAUACUUCCUCGGAGUCGGGUUGCUUGGGAAUGCAGCCCGAAGCGGGUGGUAAACUCCAUCUAAGGCUGAAUACGAACACGAGUCCGAUAGCGAACAAGUACCGUGAGGGAAAGUUGAAAAGCACUUUGAAGAGAGAGUUCAAGAGUACGUGAAACCGCCUAGAGUCAAACGGGUGGAUCCGCAAAGUCGGCUUGGGGAAUUCAGCCGGCCCCGAACCCAGGCGCCGCGGGGGUGUCCGCUCGGAUUCCGCAAGGAACCGCGGCCUCUCGUUCCAGGGCAAGCGCGCCUCGGUGGCUGGUGCACUUUCUCCGAGCCGAGCGCCACGACCGGUUCCCCGUGCAGUCAGACGACGAGGAGACAGGUAGCCGUCGGCUUGCGUUCGCGCUUGUCAGCGGUGUUAAAGUCUUCUCUGCUCCGACCUGCCGGUGGGACCGAGGAAAUAGUCUCUAGAGCCGCGCCAACCGCCUUCGGGCCAUCAGCGGGCGUUCGACCUCGGCAUCUCGCGCCGUUAGACCCUCGGGUCGACACGGUGUUGUCGUAACUGCGCUCCGUUCGAAGGGCUCGUCUGGCGGAGUGGCCGCGUUU